rnacentral:misc_RNA from 1 species
AUGAAGAACGUAGCGAAAUGCGAUAAGUAAUGUGAAUUGCAGAAUUCAGUGAAUCAUCGAAUCUUUGAACGCACAUUGCGCCCGCCAGUAUUCUGGCGGGCAUGCCUGUUCGAGCGUCAUUUCAACCAUCAAGCCCCCGGCUUGUGUUGGGGACCUGCGGCUGCCGCAGGCCCUGAAAAGCAGUGGCGGGCUCGCUGUCACACCGAGCGUAGUAGCAUACAUCUCGCUCUGGGCGUGCUGCGGGUUCCGGCCGUUAAACCACCUUCAUAACCCAAGGUUGACCUCGGAUCAGGUAGGAAGACCCGCUGAACUUAAGCAUAUCAUAGCGGAGGA